rnacentral:rRNA from 1 species
UCAUAGCGACUAUCGUGGCAUAUCAAUAAGCGGAGGAAAAGAAACUAACUAGGAUUCCCUCAGUAACGGCGAGUGAAGCGGGAAGAGCUCAAAUUUGAAAUCUUCAAGGUUCUACCUUGACGAAUUGUAGUUUAAAGAAGUGUUUUCUGUUGAGUUUCGGUAAAAGUUCUUUGGAAUAGGACAUCAUAGAGGGUGAGAAUCCCGUAUUUGACCGUUACUUUCCAGCUGUGUGAUACACUUUCAAAGAGUCGGAUUGUUUGGGAAUGCAGUCCAAAAUGGGUGGUAAAUUUCAUCUAAAGCUAAAUAUUGGCGAGAGACCGAUAGCGAACAAGUACCGUGAGGGAAAGAUGAAAAGAACUUUGAAAAGAGAGUUAAACAGUACGUGAAAUUGUCAAAAGGGAAGCGUUUGACACCAGUGUUGUUUAGUUGAAAAUCAAUUCAAUAAUUUUUGAUUUUGAGUAGUAUUGACUUCAUCAGCUUGCUGCUUUCUUUUCCGAAAUUAUUGAAUGCACUUUUCAGUUAACAAGUCAACAUCAAUUUCUUUUGUUGUAAAAGGUAAGAGGAAGGUGGCUUGCGCUUCGGCGUCAAGUGUUUAUAGCCUUUUACCUCUGCAAUCGGAGAGAUUGAGGAUCUGCAGCGUAGACUCCUUCGGGGUUAGAUACACUUGUGCUAAGCUAUAGCCUUGUAUAGACAACUUGUUGACUAUGCUCAGUCAUGUAGCUUACUCGCUUAUGCUAUUUUACCUACGCUUAGGAUGUUGACGCGCGUGUGUGCGUG